CCCUUAGAUGUUCUGGGCUGCACGCGCGCUACACUGACGCACGCAACAGGUGCCUGCUCCGAGAGGACUGGGUAAUCAUUUGAGUGUGCGUCGUGAUGGGGAUAGAAUAUUGUAAUUAUUACUCUUCAACGAGGAAUUCCUAGUAAGCGCCAGUCAGCAGCUUGCGCUGAUUACGUCCCUGCCCUUUGUACACACCGCCCGUCGCUCCUACCGAUGGGUGAUCCGGUGAAUGAUUCGGACUUCAGCGGCUCCCCUUGGGUGCGCCGGAGAAAGUUUUGUGAACCUUAUCACUUGGAGGAAGGAGAAGUCGUAACA
rnacentral:rRNA from 1 species